UACGAAGGGGGCUAGCGUUGCUCGGAAUCACUGGGCGUAAAGCGCACGUAGGCGGCUUCUUAAGUCAGGGGUGAAAUCCUGGAGCUCAACUCCAGAACUGCCUUUGAUACUGAGGAGCUUGAGUCCGGGAGAGGUGAGUGGAACUCCGAGUGUAGAGGUGAAAUUCGUAGAUAUUCGGAAGAACACCAGUGGCGAAGGCGGCUCACUGGUCCGGUACUGACGCUGAUGUGCGAAAGCGUGGGGAGCAAACAGG
rnacentral:rRNA from 1 species